ensembl:lncRNA E3 ubiquitin-protein ligase rnf213-beta-like
CGAAAGUUUAGUGAAUGCAAUAAGAAGCAGAACGGAGGGGAACUGCAACACAUAGCUCGGUUUGCUGACAGGAGUGAAGACUAUUCAGGGAGAGCGACUCCCCAAAACAUGCAUCUGUCAUCUUUUUACAAUGCCAAGGAUCAAUUCAAAAGGUAGAAAAUGACAAGGAAAAGAAAGAGUGGAGAGAAAAGAAAGCCAGGUGCUCAGAAGAAGGGGGCCCAAAAAAGAGAUGGUAGCACACCUUCAUCCAGAACACGUUCACAGAGCCAAACAAAAGGCACGCAAACUAGUCACCCGAGCCCGGCCAGAUCCAGAUCCAGAUCCAGAGGCCAUGGACGGCACAGCACGGGUGCAGCAGAGCCUGAACCACUGAGUAAAGAUGUUCAGACUCAAACAAGCUCAAGUAGGCUUGAAAACAAGGAGACUCAGACGGAGACUGUCAGUCAAGCAACACAGCAGACACAAACAGAGCUCAAUGGCAACACAGAGACCACAGAAGUGUCACAGCCAACAGAACGCAAUCCUGAAGAUGUUAAGAUGGAGGUGGAAACUGGCCUGUCAAGGAACAAAGGAAAUGAAAGCAAUGAAGAAAAGAAUGAAAGUGUUGAGAGGAAGAAAAGAAAAGUGAGUGAAACAAGGGAACCUACAGAGGAGACAAAAGAAAGGACCAAACUAUCAGAUGGUUGCAGAGAACAAGAUGAAGAUAAGCAGAAAGAUGCAGACACAAAGGAAAAACAUUCAGGAGGAGAUUCACAGAAAGACCCAGUCAAGUCAGGAACAGAAGAACCAAAAUCGUACGCAGCAGCCGCUACAGCAGGAAGUACUAAAGAAUCUAAGGAGAAGAGAAAUCAGACAGCAGAGAAUCAGGCCAGCUCAAUGGAAAGCAAAAGAGCUCAGAGAAAACCUUCCCCAGUGAGGCAUCCAGCUGAAGCACCAAUGUUCACCUUUUACAUUUAUGCUGUUCUGGACAAAAGAUUCCGAUUUAACAAAUUGUAUGAUUCCCUGUUGCUCGUUCCCCUUCAAGGGAAUGAAACUAUUAAACUAGAUAUUAAAAACUGUAGGUAAGUUUCUCAUUAAUUUCCAUUUUCAUUUCACUUCCUAUAUACAGUACACACACA